CUCCCCUAGGCAUACACAGAGUGUGGUUUACUAACCCUCUAGGCAGUCCCAAGCCAGUCAAGUUGGAAAUUAAGCUACUCAUCUCAGAGAGGAUGGAGAAUAUUUUAUCAUGAAGAACUUAGGGGAUGAUACUGUCUCAAGAGGAAACAUCCUCCAUUACAUCAACAAAGCAGCUUAAUGGAACAUUGCUCUCCUACAGUUCCCACCCACCAGGGUUCCAAGCCUGCGCAUGUCGUGCUGUGGUCCAUGGGCCAUGACCAAUCACAACACAGCAGAGACCUGGGAUUUGCAUCUGUGAAAUGCUGUCCAUACAUAAAAGCACCACAGUGGGACUAACUGAAGAAAAACGACCUAGUUGUCAGCAUGAACAGAGGGUGAGGGCAUUACCGCCCAUCCUGUGUAACCAGAGCGUCAGACAGCUGCAGCCACAGGAGUGCCACAUGAACUGCCCAGGAGGGACAUGCAGUAAAAUACAUCGCUGUUGUUUUAAUCCACUUAAUCUGUG